CUGAUCACAAGGGCUGUUGAAGAAGUCAUAAUAGGAAGUUACAUUUGCUUGUGACUCUGUGGCUGCUAUUCAGGGGCUAAUGUCAGUUCAAGGCCCCUGCAAGUCACUUGCCCAAACAAAAUGGAUGCUGAGGCAGCAGUGCCAUGGAGUAGCUUAACUGAACUCUGGACCAAAGGGGUCUUUAAAACACGAUACAUUUCAUAUCUUCAGGACAGCUCUGUGUGUGAAGACGGAUGGUCACAAUACAUGACUUCAGGUACACUGUGUCCUUGAGUCAGACCUGCCCAGAGAACCCUGCCCAGGCCCUCUUGCCAGAGAAGAGUCCUUCCUCUGUCAGAAUUAUGUUAAUCUACUGUGUGGGAAUCCAGCCCUGCUUGUGACUCUUGCCAGUUACAUUGGAGCUGUUGAUUAAGAACAUUCUUCGCCACGUGACUACAUAAAACAGUUGGACCAUUUUACCCCUCGGUUCGAGUGAUUUUUUUUUUCACAUUAUACAACUAUCAGUUUAUUUUAUUGUUCAUGAAGAUCGCUCUCUCCUCACAGAGCAGGAAAUGUGCUCUGAAGCUGACAGGGAAGGAACUCGCUUUAAUAGUAGCAAUGACAACAACACAAUAACAAGCGUUUUCAAAAAUAAGCAGUUAACCACGUCCUCUUCCAUCCCAUUUCCCCCCACCUACACGUGGCUUCCAUCUCCUUCUGUCAUUCCAAUAAAAGCAGGUUGUACACUGCUCAUUA